GUGGGAUUAUGAACAACAAAGGCACUCGUUCAUCAUGAGGCAGUGCGAGGCAACCUGGUGGUGAGGCUGGUGGUGCAUCGAAAGUUGGUCGUGCAGCGCUAUGAAAGUACACAACUAAUCGUGGGGUUUUAGUAUAACAUAACUAGAACAAAAAAGAAUAGCAGCGUCUAGAAUUUUACACGAGUUCGAAACUUUCCCAAUAUCAUACCACCAACCAACCGUUAUAAAAACUCCCCUCUGCAGCAGCAUCCCCAAAUCCUAAAUUCCCUUGUCCCUCAAUUUAGCAUUUCAAUAGCAAAGGCCCUAUCAAUCAUCUGGUAUCAUGGUGGAUCGGAAAAUAUCUCAACCUUCUGCCGCCGCUGUGCUCCCUCAGGUCAAGAUAUUCUGGACCGUGCCUUGACGAUGGCUUCACGCGAAGAUGAGCUCCUGGGCAAGAUAUCAGAGAUCGAGAAAUCUCUAGCAGCGCUUUCCACCCAACAAAUCCAACUGGUCGAUUUGAAGAAAUCAAUAUGGGAGGAGUUUCACCUACUAGGCGCCAGUAGGGCCAGCUCUCACAAAUAUGGGCGUUCACCCUUACCCAAGUUUGCACAUGGAGGAGCAUGCAUCAAUGACAGUAAAUCGGGGGGAACAUAGAUCUGUGUUUUUAGUGAUGACCUUCAAUAGGGAAAACACAGGCGCCCCGUUUGAAGUAAUGACCUGGCCUCAUUAGUGCGCUGUGCAAUAUUAGUGGUAGACUGAUAGACUGAGAGUAAAUAGCUUGUUUUCCUCCAGUAUCUAAUGGUUGUAGCAAUUAUCUCCUGCAGUAUGAUGCGGCUAUUCUUCAUACAUCAUUUGCAAGGCUUCUGGGUCACCCGAAAGCAUCAUCCACGAUGCUAUCUAAUACUGGGGAUCAGGUCCACUUCUUUCAUGGGCUUGUUGAUCGUCUAAACAAUGAACUCCGGGGAUUUGAGGCGGUCGUAUCUGAGCUCUGGUAUGUUGAGGAAUUUGAUGUUUUGGCUCUUGCUUUGAAUGGAAGAAUGAAGAUGCGCAGGUUCCAACUUGGCUGCUCAAGAAAUUGACAUCAUGAAAUGAAAGACAAAAGAUGGAUUACAAGAUCUCACGACACAUACCUUAAAGAAAAACUGCUGACACGAGAUGUGCCCAUUGAGAGUGCGCAAAUUUGUAAAUGAAAUUAAAAUAUCUUCCAUCAGUUAAAGAGUUUUAAUACCAACCAGACAUUUCCUGCGAAAAAACAAAAACAAAAACAAAAAU